GACGAACGCUGGCGGCGUGCUUAACACAUGCAAGUCGAACGGAAAGGCCCUGCUUUUGUGGGGUGCUCGAGUGGCGAACGGGUGAGUAACACGUGAGUAACCUGCCCUUGACUUUGGGAUAACUUCAGGAAACUGGGGCUAAUACCGGAUAGGAGCUCCUGCUGCAUGGUGGGGGUUGGAAAGUUUCGGCGGUUGGGGAUGGACUCGCGGCUUAUCAGCUUGUUGGUGGGGUAGUGGCUUACCAAGGCUUUGACGGGUAGCCGGCCUGAGAGGGUGACCGGCCACAUUGGGACUGAGAUACGGCCCAGACUCCUACGGGAGGCAGCAGUGGGGAAUAUUGAACAAUGGGCGGAAGCCUGAGGCAGCAACGCCGCGUGCGGGAUGACGGCCUUCGGGUUGUAACCCGUUUUCGCCUGUGACGAAGCGUGAGUGACGGUAAUGGGUAAAGAAGCACCGGCUAACUACGUG
rnacentral:rRNA from 1 species